rnacentral:lncRNA from 10 species
GUGAGUCAUGAACGCGCAACCUGUUGAUCCAGGUUGGUAAUCAGUGGCCGGGCCUGCCAGCAAAUCACCUGACCCGGUCACCCAGAGGCUGGGAAGGACUGCCGCGGCUGCCGCCCAGAUCCCUCCUUCCUCCCCCUGAAGGCUCUGCCUGGAAGGAGCGAAGGGGUUAAGUGUUUCUGGCGGCCUGGUGCUGUGUCUGCUGCAGUUCCCCCUUCCGGGGCUGCAGCAACCCGAGGUUGGCGAGGAAUGUUUGCAAUGCAGAGCUAGGAGGAGGGCGGGCUGCUAGAGGUGGGGGCCGAGGCAGGCCCGCGGCCAGGCUCCCUAGUUGAGCAAUGGCCCUGCUGGUUCCUGUAACUCGGACCCCUCCCGCCUUUUCCCGCCCUGCCGGCUUCCUCCACCCCGGCUGGGCUGCCUGCCGGGCAGUGGGGGCGGCCUGCACUCAGCUGCAGAGGGAGGUGGAGGGACAGAGGCCCAGAUAGCCUGAAGGUCAAGAGUGAAAGAGAGGGGUUCCCUGAGAGACAGAGCAGGGGUGCAGUUGGCUCAGCCACCCCAGCCCAGAGAAGCGGGGCCUUUUCCAAAGUCACACAGCAAGACACCAGUGAAUUGGGCCACAGCUCUGGGUCUGGCCUCUUUAGUUCCCAUAACUCUAGGCUGCAACUCCCACACACAGCAGGGAGGUCACAUUGCCACUCAGCUGGGAAGCUUUGAACCACAGGGGACCCUCUCCCAACAGAAGGCAAAGCCCCCCCACCCCAAUGCACUGGCUUGGCCUCUUCACCUAAUCCCCAGGGUCUCAGAGAGGACAGUGCACCCACUGGUCUAGGUGCACCCCUCCAUCCUGCCAUUAACUCCCCACCACUUCCCACUGCCCACUGCCCGGCCAGGUCUUGGGGACCUUGGUCACCUCUGUUCCUCGCUUCCGGGAGUAUGAAGUAAAUGAAUGAAGGCCAAACUUGAGCUGGUUCUUGAAAACCCUCUCUCCCCUCUUCCUCUGGGUCUUUUCAAGGAAGGACCAAACUGGCACGGUGGCUCAUGCCUGUAAUCCCAGCACUUUGGGAGGCUGAGGUGGGUGGAUCGCCCGAGGUCAGGAGUUCGAGACCACCUUGGCUAACAUAGUGAAACCCUGUUUCUACUAAAAAUACAAAAAAUUAGCUGGGCGUGUUGAUGGGCACCUGUAAUCCCAGCUACUCUGGAGGCUGAGGCAGGAGAAUCGCUUGAACCCAGGAGUUGGAGGUUGCAGUGAGCUGAAAUCACACCAUUGCACUCCAGCGUGGGCAACAAGAGCAAAACUCCAUCUCAAAAAAAAAAAAAAAAAAAAAAAGGAAGGACCUUCAUGAGUACCAAAUAUUCACUUGGGCUCAGACGCAAAACUCAGCUCUUUCUCCACAAGCACCCCCCUCCUUUGGGGGGAAGCUGUGUUCCCUGACACUGUGGGAUGAGCUCCUCCCUCUGCCGGCAGUAUUUCCUCUCUGGGGGACCUCUGGGGAGGUGGCCUUGCAGUUGGGCACACCUGGCUUGCAUCCCAGAGGCACCACCUUCAAGCUUCCUGGCUUUGCCACACCUCUCUGAGCCUCGGUUUCCUUAUCUGUGCCAUGGAAUUCAGAGAGGCCCCAGUCUCACUAGGCUGAGGCUCAGGGCCAGUUGCCUUUUCCUGGCCCCACAGAUGUAUGGUCAGUUUGGGGGUAUGCCCCCAUCCCUGCUCUGGGCUUUGCCUAAGACAGGCUGUGGGCAGCCCUCAGAGGCGCCAGUUUGGCCACACCUGGCUGGAAUCAGCGGGUGGGUGGGAGCACACAGCAGGGACCCAGUGCCUUCUAGAACACAGCUAGCAGUUCCCGUGAAAAUCAAAACACCCCAUUUUACAGGGCACACAGCCGGCUGAGCCAGGACCCACCACACUCAACUCCCCGGCCCCUGGCUCCCAGGAGGUGGCUCCUCCAUGGCCGGGAAGGACCCCCACGGCUGCUCCCGCAGGCAGAUGGACAGACGAUGGCCCCCUCCCACGGCCUGCGGGCUGUGUGGCAUCGCCACCUCCUCCCGAGCAGGCUGCCUUUAAGAAACCAGAAGAUUGAUUUCCUGGCAGGCUCUACGCCGAGGAGCCCGUCCAAAUGGUUUGCAUGUCUGCAUUUUUUACUGCUCCGUUUAAUAUGUAUGCAAAUGCCGGCCGGCUGCGCCCGCCGCGCGGCUGCACAGUCACACGCGGCGCCCCAUUAAAGCGGCCGUCCCGGGCGCGCGCCUCAUUCGAGGCGACGGGCUCCGGGCCCUGAUAGAUGGGGUGCGGGGACGGAGACAAAUGACGGCCUUUGGGCUCGGAAUACCCACCUUUCUGGUAAUGCAGCCCAGCGGGUCCCAGCCUCGUUUUCCAGCCCUCACUCAAAAUGGAGUCGCUCUGGUUCGAACGCCUCUGACAAGUGUGUACCUACGUGUCAGGAUUUGCCGGGUGCUGGGCCCCAGAAGCCAGCCCUCCUGACGUGUGGCGGCCGUCCUCACCGCUCCCUCCUUCCCUGCAGCAUUCCCCAGCCCCCGGCCCACCCUCCUCCCACCCGCUUCCUGACCCAGGCUCCCGGGCCUUCCCCUCGUGGCCACCUAGCUGUGUGCUUUGUUUGGCUGCUGUCACCCCCAGGAAGGUGAUCCCCGUGAGAACUCAAAUAGCAGAUGCUCAUCUGGGACCCCCGCCUCCAGCCCCAGGGGAGGUUUCCUGGUCCUCACUGUGGCCGGGGCAUGGCUCCUUCACCCCGGGGCUCACCCUCGGUGUCCGUGAAGUCCAGCCGACGGUGACCCUAAGUCCUCCCUCCACUCGCCUAUGUUUGGGGAUAGCCCAUCCUUCCUGCAGGCCUUUGUCUUGGUGUCACCCUGCCUGAGCUGGCCCCAACCACAGUAGCAACAGUGAUGCUGAUGUGUGACUGCUGCCAGGAGCCUGCUCACAUGACCGUGUGGAGAAAGUUCUUUCCCUGAGGACCAUCUGGAGUGGACGCGUGCACUACCCCUCUCUGAAUACACCCUCCCCACGAGGCCCUCUGGAGCAUCCUGUAGAGCCAGCCCCUACCCAGAGACCCUGAGCCCAGAGAAUGCGCUGGGUGGUGAGCCUGGGGACGAAUGCAGAGCCCUAGGUCUCCUCUCCAGAAAGACCGGAUUUUGCCAUGUUGGCCAGGCUGGUCUUGAACUCCUGACCUCAAGUGAUCCACCUGCCUCGGCCUCCCAAAGUGCAGGGAUUACAGGUGUGAGCCACUGCACCCGGCCUCAGGCAGGUAUUUUUACCAGCCGAAUACUCUUGCACUGUGCACUCUUCGUGUUCAUCAUCAGUCCCCCGGAUGGGUGUUUAAGGCAUUUCCAAAGCUCUGUUAUUAAAAACACGAUGCAAUGAGUUUCUUUCAGCAUUUCCCCUUGUUGCCGUGUGAAUGCGUCCGUGGUAUAACUUCCUAAAAGUGGAAUCGCUUGGUCAAAGGGUGGGUGCAUUUAGCAACCUGAUGGCUUUCCAGGAGACAAGUGCUGCCUCCCGGCCACGAGCUUUUAAGAAGAACUGUUGAUGGAACCCGAGCUGGAGUCCCAGGGACCGGGGCGAGUUCUCCAUCCCAGGGGAUUUUCAGAUGGGACACUGGGGAGAAGCUGCCCUGCCCAUCUGAACUCUAUGAUCCCAGUACUAACACUGGUAGCUGUGCCAUCCCCAGUAUAGAGACAGCACCGUGCUCUUGGGAGGGUGAGUCAUUGGCCCCCG